CUGCUUUGCAGCACAUAUACUAAAACUGGGAUGAUACAGAGAAGAUUAGCAUGUCCCCUGCACAGGGAUGACACACAAAUUUGCAAAGCAUUCCAUACUUAU
ensembl:snRNA U6 U6 spliceosomal RNA